rnacentral:misc_RNA from 1 species
CCAAAUCCAAAUCUCAACCCCAUGUGAACUAUUGUAUAGUCUGUCUUUGGGAGAGAGACUCAUUAAAAUUAAUUUUUUCUUGUUUGUCUCUCCCAAUAGAGUCCGGCGCAACUUUAUUGAUGUGUCCAGAUUCGAAAACCCUUUAAACCACUUGAUUUUUUCUGUUGGAAUUUCUUUUAUUAAUUAUAAAUAAAAGA